rnacentral:rRNA from 1 species
AACGAACGCUGGCGGCAUGCCUAACACAUGCAAGUCGAACGAGACCUUCGGGUCUAGUGGCGCACGGGUGCGUAACGCGUGGGAACCUGCCUUUAGGUUCGGAAUAACUCAGAGAAAUUUGAGCUAAUACCGGAUAAUGUCUUCGGACCAAAGAUUUAUCGCCUUUAGAUGGGCCCGCGUAAGAUUAGCUAGUUGGUGGGUAAAGGCCUACCAAGGCGACGAUCUUUAGCUGGUCUGAGAGGAUGAUCAGCCACACUGGGACUGAGACACGGCCCAGACUCCUACGGGAGGCAGCAGUGGGGAAUAUUGGACAAUGGGCGAAAGCCUGAUCCAGCAAUGCCGCGUGAGUGAUGAAGGCCUUAGGGUUGUAAAGCUCUUUUACCCGAGAUGAUAAUGACAGUAUCGGAGAAUAAGCUCCGGCUAACUCCGUGCCAGCAGCCGCGGUAAU